GAGAGAGAGAGAGAGAACUAAAGUAAUUUACCCAUCCCCCCCCCCACCCCCCGAACCCCCCAAAAAAAUAGAUCGCUGGAAAGGAACUUCUUUUUCGCCUUAAUAAAACUUUCUGCUGUGCUGUAGAGUCGCCGGCCAUUAUUGUCGAGCCGUAUCUAAGGAGAUAUUACGAAUUGAAGUCCGGUGGACGCGUUGCGUGACAGAGCGGGUUCGUUGCGGGGUUCCCGAAAAGAAUCCAUAGCGGAUACAAUCGAAGCCGGAUCAAAUCGGCCAUCGGCUGAUUUGGUCGUGUUGGGAGGAGGGGGGAAGCCCCCUACGAAGAAAUAAUAAGUGUGAUGGCGUUGGCUGUAUGGAUUACCCAAUUCAUUAACCUUAUCUAUUAGAUGUAGUAGCGCAAGCUCAAGAAUAUAUAUCUAAACGCAUUCAGGGGAUAUAGAGUACACGUCAGAGGGUUUACAGGGGGAAAGGAAACAACUUGGCAGACAUGGGCCAAAGUAAGUAAUGAGCUUCGCUACAUAUAGAGACUAAGGAAAACACGGAGACAGAGAGAGAGAGAGAGUGCAAGUUGAUUGACGUUGUGACCAGUUUCUAUGACAUCGCCAAGUGGAGCGACACUAUACAUCAGCAACUGUGCACGAUGGAUUUCGCUUCGGUGACCACGCGCGCGCCCCCCGCUCUUCUCUUUUUGGGGGGCUGAUUCAGCGUCGUCGUCGUCGUCGUCUCCCAGGGCUGCUGCUCUCUCCCAAUGCGUCAUGUCACGCGGAGGCGAGAGAGUAGCACAGUAGCAGCAGCAAAGCAGUAAGGAGAGAGUCUAAGGGAAAAGCUGAUGAUGACAGACCCCCGUCCCCGUCCCCCCCUUUUCCCCAAGAGCUAUUGUGAAACGUCCAAAGAGAACUCCAGGAAACAUGGUAAUUGCGCUAGACUCCACCUACCAUCAAACCCCCCUUUACGACCGAGUUGCCCUGACAGUAGCUGAAUACAAUCUACGUUAGUUACUGUCAUGUAAUUGGUUCUCAUCUCGAUUUUUUGUUUCUUGCGCUGGACAGAAAAAAAAGGAGAGGAACUAUUGUUUACUGUACUAUAGUUUAAUCUCGACACACGACAACCAGUGGCCCUGAAUAGGGAGGGAAUCACAAUCAGUUGAAGCGAUUUCAACGCUUGUUCUUAUAAUAUUCCUGGAAUCGGAAAUGUUAUUGUUCAAAGUCAAGACAAACACAAAACACAAAAAAUAAAAAUUUCCUUUUGCCUGUAGGCGUGGGCGAUGCUCACAAUCGUACCUCGACGUUACGCUCGACUCCAAACGCCGUUGACAUUGAGCUCUAUCAAAAGCUUAUUUUUUCUUUUUCUUUAUUUUCUUUUUUUUUGAUUCAUAUUUCUUUUAUAUUCUCUUGGCCUUCUCUCCCUUUUUUUCGUAUUAUGUUUUGGGUUCUUUUAUUUUCUAAUAUCCUGGGAAGUGAGAAUCAGAGUGACGACGACGAGUUUCCAGAAGAGAUGAACCGCAGUCACGCCAAUUGCAUAUUGCUUCAGCGUUAAGGCUUUUUCUCAAACUCUUUUAACAUUCGUUGCUGGGCCAUCACGAUGACGUGAUGGAAAAGGUUUUCUUUUUCUUUUGCUUAUAUAUAUUUUAGUUGUUAUUUUGUUUUUUCUCUCUUCUUCCCUCCCGACUUUCUUUAACGUUCUCUUUCGUUAAUCCCGCUGGCCUCACGACAUCGCAACGCACUUCCGCCAGACGAGAUUCUUUCUUCUUUUUAUUUUCUUUGGUUUUUUCUUAUUCUUCUUUUUUAGACAUUGUAAAUACAGCAUGAUUUCCUCUCUGUCUGCCUCUUAGACUGUUUCCCUAAUGAAAGGUUUCUCACACCGACAGCGUAGCAGCUCGACUUGCGCGAGAAUUAACUGGCAUUAGCUCUAGGAUGAACGUGAUUUUGCUCCUCUCUCCGUCGGCGUUCUUCCUCCUCCAACUCGCGCGUCCGCGUCCGUUGCCUCCGGCUUUCAGUAGUCUACACGAUCGAUCGGCCUCUCCUCUCGUUCGCUUGAUAUUUAGCCUUCGCCAACAUGUUUUCGAUCAAGAGAGAGAGAGAGAAGGAGAAAGUCGCUCCUCUUUGUAGGUCCCGUUGUAUGUGCAUGGGACCGCUUUGCGGGGAGAUCUUUUCUCCCCGUAGUUUGGAUCUCAUCGACUAGUAGCCGAGGAUUGACGUGAUAACAUUCGGGAAACGAAAGAAGAAGAAGGUCGAAAACCAAACUCUUGAAAAUGUAACCGGGGGGUGGUCUGCUGUAUAAAUAGACGACACCGCCUUCUUAUAUUCCCCUCCUCUCCACCGAAUAGAUAAAGCCCGAAUCGAAAGGACCCCACUAGAUCCAGAAAGUCAAUAUAUAUUUGGGUACGUGACGAUACGAUUGAAAGACGAGAUCUCCAAAUUAUAUCUGCUCAAAAGGGCAGAGAGAGAGACGAUGAAAUGUCGGCCGCCGUGUGUGUGUGCUGUGUGUAUCUAUUCUGUUGUAAAACACACACACAUCAUCCCUCUAGACAUUUGCCUCAAAUGCGCUCUGAUGUGUUGUGCCACUCUCGCUUGUAUAUUAUCCUAUCGCCGGGUACAGGCCAAAAUCGAUUGACGUUUAUUACUUUAGCCAACCCGAGUUUUUUAUUUCUUUUUUUCAUUUUUGGUCGCUCAUGGCUGUUUUUUUCGAUCCUUUUUUUUUCCUUUUUUCUGUCCUCGUGUGUGUGUACAGUGUACACGUUUGCCCUAGUACAUCCAUCCGGGGGACCUUACUAUUUCCGAUAAGGGUGAAUAGGAAGGGACCCCCCAAAAAAAGAGGAAAAGAUACAUCGUGAGUUUAUUGAAUUUGUCCUUAUUCUGAGCCCGAGGAGCGCAGCAGUCACUAUACUAGCAAAUAACUUCAUUGGCGUCUAACUUGACUGGACGGAGUCAUUCAACCGUCUCCCUAUGGAAAAGGGAAUUGGUUAUACGACACUGGAGACGUCCGACACAAAAAUUGGAAAAAGGAAUUCAAUCAUCGCCGGGCGCAAUUCUCCCGUUUUCAAUUCAGCAGUCGGGUGAGGAGGAUGAGGCAUGUCAACGCCCAAGUUUGUUUUUUUCCUCCCCUACCUUCCGCCAAUAACAUUCGAUUUAACUUGUAGGCCUAACACACCAACAACCAUCAUUGAAAGGAAAAAAAAAGGGAAACAAGUUGAUCUUUUUUGUUGUUGAUGUUUCCUAUUUUUGGGUUAUUUUGUCGUUUCAAAUGAUUCAAGUAAUAUUUGAACCAACUAAACGAUUUAAAAUUAUAGUCGAAAAAGGUAGGCGCUUUUCAUUUGAUCGGAACGAGAAAUAAAAUCACUGUCACAUCCCGUUGAACGAAAAAUGUGUACGCGGCGCCAAGGGAAAUGAAAAGGUUCAAUUAUGUGAAUGAUGACAUUUGCUGUCGACUAAAUAAUCACGGACAAGACGAUUUCCUGGUUCCUCUUUUUUAUCUCUCUCUCUCUCUUCCCUAUACCACCCCCGCAUCUUGCGGCUCAAUUCUUCCACAGGAGAGAGAAAAUAAAAUUCUUUCACGGUCGUCUUCCAAGGGGGUUGGUUAAGGAGAUACAGUAUGCCCGGAAUGAAUCAAACCGUGACGUGUUUUCAAAACUUUAUUGAAAAAUGCCAGGGCGGAUAUGAGCGGAUUGAAUAGGGAAAAAAAGGUAACCGAGUCUACAGCUCGCAGUGUGGGGUGCCUGGACACAUUUCAAAUGAAUUCCAUCGCGGUUGAUGAUGACACUAUCAAAAAAAAGUCUCUUGUUGCUUCCCUCCCCGUACAAGAAAAAUAUAAUAAACUUAUUUGGUGGCGAAAGAAAAAGUGAACGUGCAUGUCUAGAGACUGCUGAUGUCAUCUCGAUGACUUGUCUCCAUGCUGCAAUCGCAAGGAGAUAUCCUCCUCUUAUUCAACCUGUUCACAAAAGCGCAACGACGGGAUUAUCGAUCGAUAAGAAGGGGAGCAAAAAAGAAACCGAUAAAUUAAAAUGAAUAAUUGGAUGGAUGAAAAAAAAACCUUUGACGAGUUAACAGUUUUCUGCGAGGACAAAAUGGGAAAAACCCGAGGUCGCGUGCUAGUGUGUAUAUGUCCAAACGCAAGUCCAGCAUAUAGCGUUGCUGCUGCUGCUGGCCCAGAUGGCCGAUGUCACGAAAGCUCCGGCUCUUUUUUUUUCGUCUAUUUACUACCCCCAGGCCCCAGCUUAUAUGAUGUAUUCGUCAAUUAUCGUACACGACGCCGUAGAGAAAAAAAAGAACAUUGCUCAUGGCGACGUAUUGGGCAAUAAUAGUCGAUGAUUCAAAGCUGCUGCUGGUGUACAUAGUCUCGUAAAAUCGUGUGCACAUAUCACUUGUGUAAGAGAGCUUGGAAAAGAAGAAGAAGAAUGUGCCGGUCCCAUUGAAACGCUUUUUUCGUGUGAAAACUCUUUUGUAAAAAAGAAUAACAAAAAACAAAAAAGAAGAAGGUGGGCAAAUAUGGCGGCGGUGCACGCCAACCGGGACGAAGAGUAAUACCAGUGUCCACCGAAAUACAAUGGGCGCUCCCUGAUGGAUAGACCGACGAUUAUCCUACCGAAUUCGUCCGGUGAAGAACCGUAGAGAGCAUGGGUUACUUGUGUGAAAACACACACCAAGCGAGAGAAAGAGAGAGAGAAGACUAUCGCGACGCUAUACACACGAUCGGCGGUUUGACGUAAUUAACCACACGCGUUUGGUUUGGGUAACCCAUUUUGGGGUAUACCACCAAUGUGUAUCGCUUGUGACUAUUGUUGUUGUUGCCUACCGUUUUUUUUUUUCUUUUCCCUCGACCACUAGAAUUAAAGGCGUGCCUACGAUACUUUGCAUAUUUGUUCUUCUUUCUUUUUCAAGCGAAUUCCGAGACAAAAACAAGAGCUACGAAAGUAUCAGGCCUCCCGUAUUUUACGUCCAGCAACAUCGACACGUAACAUAUAACUGGUCUUUUGGAUAGUUGUUGUUGACUGUUGAGAACUAGCUCUUAUCUCUUCCAGGGGGCUUGUUCAAUUGCCUCGGCAAUUACUGGACUCGAGGCCAGUAGCCACGAAAGAAAAAAAAAACGAAAUCCCCACAAAAAUUACAUAUCUUUAUAGAUUAGAGAGAGAAAAAAAGAAAAAAACAGAGGAGAAGGUAGUGGAUAAAUAAUAACACGUAACGCUCUUCUCUACUCGGUUCUGGUUCAUACAAGCAAGAGAGAAUAAGGGUGUAAAUAUAAAAUAACCUUGAACUCGACCCCCUUUUUUUUUUACUUCUCCCUAUGUAUAUAUCUCAGUCCGGAUGCAAAGAGGAGAAGAAAUACGGCCGCGGGACUUGCGUAAGAACGUAUCUACACAUACAUAUAUAUAAUAUAUACAUAGCUACACAAAAGAGUAUAUGUUAACUACUUGGCCUUCCUCCUGCUGGUGUGUGUCCUCCACGUCUGAAAUGUGUAAUUACCGGUCGAAAAA